CCCUGCCAUUUGUACACACCGCCCGUCGCUACUACCGAUUGGAUGGUUUAGUGAGGCCCUCGGAUCGGCCCCGCCGGGGUCGGCCCACGGCCCUGGCGGAGCGCUGAGAAGACGGUCGAACUUGACUAUCUAGAGGAAGUAAAAGUCGUAACAAG
rnacentral:rRNA from 1 species